rnacentral:lncRNA from 1 species
GUAUGCCAUACCCGUGUCUCCACACUCCUUGAUUAAGUGAACAACCAACCCAUAUGGCACACAACGACCUAUGCAUGAUAAACAUUGUUGUCCUUGAUAACAACGUAUCAUUUGAUCAUGAACAGGUUUAAGGACUAAAUGACAAAUUCUCCUUUGUCGAGUCUAAAUAGUCCUAAGGACUUCACCACAACACAGGAGUUCAUUAGAAGAUGAAACAAUUUGUGAUGAAAAAUAUCAAAAUAACUUUUAUUAAUUUAUAAUUCAUAUACU